rnacentral:rRNA from 1 species
GUGGGGAAUCUUGCGCAAUGGGCGAAAGCCUGACGCAGCCAUGCCGCGUGAAUGAUGAAGGUCUUAGGAUUGUAAAAUUCUUUCACCGGGGACGAUAAUGACGGUACCCGGAGAAGAAGCCCCGGCUAACUUCGUGCCAGCAGCCGCGGUAAUACGAAGGGGGCUAGCGUUGCUCGGAAUUACUGGGCGUAAAGGGCGCGUAGGCGGACAGUUUAGUCAGAGGUGAAAGCCCAGGGCUCAACCUUGGAAUUGCCUUUGAUACUGGCUGUCUUGAGUACGGGAGAGGUGAGUGGAACUCCGAGUGUAGAGGUGAAAUUCGUAGAUAUUCGGAAGAACACCAGUGGCGAAGGCGACUCACUGGCCCGUUACUGACGCUGAGGUGCGAAAGCGUGGGGAGCAAACAGGAUUAGAUACCCCUGUAGUCC